CAGUCGCCGCGGGAAUACGAAGGGUGCAAGCGUUAAUCGGAAUUACUGGGCGUAAAGCGUGCGCAGGCGGUUCGCUAAGACAGAUGUGAAAUCCCCGGGCUUAACCUGGGAACUGCAUUUGUGACUGGCGGGCUAGAGUAUGGCAGAGGGGGGUAGAAUUCCACGUGUAGCAGUGAAAUGCGUAGAGAUGUGGAGGAAUACCGAUGGCGAAGGCAGCCCCCUGGGCCAAUACUGACGCUCAUGCACGAAAGCGUGGGGAGCAAACAGGAUUAGAGACCCCAGUAGUCCCUGUCUCUUAUAC
rnacentral:rRNA from 1 species